rnacentral:rRNA from 1 species
GACGAACGCUGGCGGCGUGCUUAACACAUGCAAGUCGAGCGGUAAGGCCCUUUCGGGGGUACGACGAGCGGCGAACGGGUGAGUAACACGUGGGUGACCUGCCCUCAGCUCUGGGAUAAGCCUGGGAAACCGGGUCUAAUACUGGAUAUGACUCCAUGACGCAUGUUGUGGGGUGGAAAGCCUUGUGCGGCUGAGGAUGGGCCCGCGGCCUAUCAGCUUGUUGGUGGGGUGAGGCCUACCAAGGCGACGACGGGUAGCCGGCCUGAGAGGGCGACCGGCCACACUGGGACUGAGACACGGCCCAGACUCCUACGGGAGGCAGCAGUGGGGAAUCUUGCGCAAUGGGCGAAAGCCUGACGCAGCGACGCCGCGUGAGGGAUGACGGGCCU